GACCCAUAAAAAACUUCAGAGGACCCAAUGGCAAAUUUGCACCACGAUCAUCGUUUGAUUUCGUAACAUUACACACCACCCCUCCGACGCAAUUGUUAGCCCCGUCGGGAAUCAAUUGUGCAAAAAGUCAGUUGUACGGAAGUCUCCGACGCAAGGAGACAACAAAAAACAACAACCGGGUGUUAGGUUACAAACAGGGGUUCGGUGGUCAAUAAGGUUGUGGGUUCAUUUUUUGUUGUAAAAUUCAAAACCAACCUCUUGUUGCUCGCGGAGCUGAUUUUCCUUUCGUCGUUCGUCCGGCACGCUCAACGGGUAAACCUCGAUGCGCGCUGAACUUUCGACCUGAAAAUUGGAUGAAUUAAUUUUUAAAUAAUUUAGCUUAUUGGCUAGGGAUUGAUAAGAUUUCUGUUCAUGUAUGAUGGUUGAGCAAAUAGUGAUAACGAGUGGGGGGUGGAGGAGGACAAUGGAUAUUAGAAAUCAAUAAGCAAACGAACAUUGAGCAACUGAUCAGAUCAGCUCAACACACAAAUUGCUCCGAUUUGCAAACUUUUUUGGGCCUCUUUUGUAGAGAACUUUUCAUUGAAAUUUAAUCGAAGAAAGUGGAAAAAAUACCCUCAAAAAUUUGACAAACUAUCAAGAGCAUCUUCACGUAAUUCAAAAUGAUCUGGAAAACUCGACAGUGUUCAAGAAAAAUUGAACAAAAAGAGAAAAACGGAUCUUGUAGGUAGGUACAGCCUACCUGGCCGUGCUCCCACUGGGCUUUAGUUUAAGGCCCGAGGAGGGGACUGUGGCCGAUUAUCCA
ensembl:antisense_RNA F54E2.8 ncRNA